UACGUAGGGGGCAAGCGUUGUCCGGAUUUAUUGGGCGUAAAGAGCGUGUAGGCGGUCAGGUAGGUCCGUUGUGAAAACUCGAGGCUCAACCUCGAGAUGUCGGCGGAAACCAUCUGGCUAGAGUCCGGAAGAGGAGAGUGGAAUUCCUAGUGUAGAGGUGAAAUUCGUAGAUAUUAGGAAGAACACCAGUGGCGAAGGCGGCUCACUGGCCCGGUACUGACGCUGAGGCGCGAAAGCGUGGGGAGCAAACAGG
rnacentral:rRNA from 1 species